rnacentral:rRNA from 2 species
UAGGGAAUCUUCGGCAAUGGGGGGAACCCUGACCGAGCAACGCCGCGUGAGUGAAGAAGGUUUUCGGAUCGUAAAGCUCUGUUGUUAAGGAAGAACGAGUGUGAGAAUGGAAAGUUCAUGCUGUGACGGUACUUAACCAGAAAGGGACGGCUAACUACGUGCCAGCAGCCGCGGUAAUACGUAGGUCCCGAGCGUUGUCCGGAUUUAUUGGGCGUAAAGCGAGCGCAGGCGGUUAGAAAAGUCUGAAGUGAAAGGCAGUGGCUCAACCAUUGUAGGCUUUGGAAACUGUUUAACUUGAGUGCAGAAGGGGAGAGUGGAAUUCCAUGUGGAGCGGUGAAAUGCGUAGAUAUAUGGAGGAACACCGGUGGCGAAAGCGGCUCUCUGGUCUGUAACUGACGCUGAGGCUCGAAAGCGUGGGGAGCGAACAGG